UACGAACUGUGCAAACGUUAUUCGGAAUCACUGGGCUUAAAGGGUGCGUAGGCGGUUCGUUAAGCAGGGUGUGAAAGCCUCCGGCUCAACCGGAGAAUGGCGCCCUGAACUGGCGGACUGGAGUGAGACAGGGGUGUGCGGAACUUCCAGUGGAGCGGUGAAAUGUGUUGAUAUUGGAAGGAACGCCGGUGGCGAAAGCGGCACACUGGGUCUCAACUGACGCUGAGGCACGAAAGCCAGGGGAGCGAACGGG
rnacentral:rRNA from 1 species